AGAUAAAAUUGGUUCAUAUAUAACCAACCCAAAACGUCAUGUAAAAUUCUGUUUGACCACAUUUUUUCUAACCUCUUUAUAUACUUCUCAUUUUACCUGUUGAAAGAAUUUGUGCAUUAUGAUUUUCUCCAAAGCAUUUUGCUUUUAUGUAAACCCAGAAGUUCUGAUUUGGGAUUCAGAAGGAAAGGAAGCUUCCAUCUUACCUACGUUCUUUCCCAACUCCUCCUUUCCUACUUAUGUUUUGAGGAUACAUGAACCACCUUUCAAAUAUUUGUUUUAAAAUAAAGAAUUAUAUGUGUCAGUAAAGUCACCAAAAGUGCAGAUCUGAAUCCUUGCUGCUCAGACACAGAAGAUGCACAGGAAAGAGUCUCUCCGCGGACAAGGACACUGGUACUUUGGGCUCUAGCCAUAUUCAUUUUUUAAAAACCAUCACCAAUAUAUAACAAAAUAUAAUUUAUAUCAUUGAUCUGUGAUUCUUUUCAAAUCACACUGAACAUUUAGCUGUACUUUCAUGUUUGGUUUAAUAUUGUAUGAAUGAAAAGCCUAAAAGGGAUGAUAGUGUUUAUUUUUUAAUUUAUUUGGUACUGUCAAACACCUUUUCAGAAUGAGCAAAUGCUGCAUUUGCAUUUUGGAAUUGUUUUGUGAAAGAUACUACAGAGAUUCAGCAAGAAGGGAAAUUUGUGCUUCCUUGUUGAACAUUAAAUUAUUUUACUUUGCAUUUUAUAAAAGUACAAAUUAAAACUGAGCCAUUGAACUGCAAUAAAUCAACAAUAGUGUCUCAUUUCAAGAAAUUUUUUGUAUUGUACAUAGAUUUGUUCAAUAAAACAUUGUCCUUGUUGAUAAUGCAAGUGUUUACUUUUAUGUAGUACACUGAUUUCAAGAAUUCAGCUUAUUUAAAUGAAUUUUUAUGCUUCAUAAAAAUGGGAUGUUUCAUUAAUGUACUCACAUUCCAGGUAUUAAAAUAUUUUGAAAGGACAGAAAAUG
rnacentral:lncRNA from 1 species